rnacentral:rRNA from 1 species
CUUUUGGUUUGGAAAACAUGAGGAAACUUGUGCUAAUACCGGAUAAGCCUUUACAGGGAAAGUUUUAUACGCCGAAAGAUGAGCCCGCACUUGAUUAGUUUGUUGGUGAGGUAAUGGCUCACCAAGACAAUUAUCAAUAGCUGGUCUGAGAGGACGAUCAGCCACAUUGGGACUGAGACACGGCCCAGACUCCUACGGGAGGCAGCAGUAAGGAAUCUUGCACAAUGGGGGAAACCCUGAUGCAGCGAUGCCGCGUGAGUGAAGAAGGCCCUUGGGUUGUAAAACUCUUU